GAAUCUAACGCCUGAUGACCUAUCACUGUCUCCCAUCACUCCCAGAUGGGACCGUCUAGUUGCAGGAAAACAAGCUCAGGGCUCCCACUGAUUCUACAUUAUGGAAAUUUCAUGAUCCGACUGGAAUCCAGGAAAAUCACAGCUGAAAUACAAAACAUCAGCCCUUAUCUCCAGCACUGUACAUGGCAGAAACUGCUUUUAUUCUAGAUGUCUAGAUCCAGAUCAACUGCAUGGGGUCCUACAGGAGAAGACCAAGAGACAGAGACAGAGACCAGGGAAAAUGACCGAUACCAUUCCUUCUCAGGGAUGCUACACACCCAUGGGGCAGAGGAUAAGAGGUUCCUGAAGGCAUCACCCCUCUGGCCAUGGCUGGUGUGCAGACAAAGCUGGAGAUUUGGAGUAGCCUGUUGUCCCACUGACUCUUAGACUGCCCCAGCUAAGAAGAACCAACUCCUCCUAUUACAGAUGAAAUAAACAAAGCUACUCAAGCUCUCUGGCAUCGCCCUGACGGUCAUCAUGUGCUUCACAUUUCCCUCCUGCCCCCCCUGAUUUUCUGGAAAAGGGAGAAACACACCAAAGAGAGUUCUAGAAAAAAUGAGAAUAAGAAAUUUACCUGUAAUCCUUGCUCAAGAAACUGAAGCUCUGAGGCCACAUUGUUCCAGCCUUUUGCAGCUCCUGCAUGUGGAUACCAGCACCAGCAGCUCCCCGACCAGGGGCCCCAGCUAAGCCCUCCCAGAGGAUGAUCUUGGCUUUGUACAUGGGGUGUCAAUAUCCUGUGAGUCCAACAGAGGGAAGACAUAAGAAUAUGGUCACCCAGGUAAGUGGUGGAUAGCUGAGUGACUGUAUUCUUGCUCACCACCACCCCCAUCAGAGGGGGUGUCUUUGUUUCUAGUUGGGGGAAGCUUUGGUAGACUGUCAGUAAUUCCUCCCUGUGUCCCCCAUCCUGUGUCAGGUAACAGACAUUUGUCUUAAUGUAUUCACUGUGUCAUCAGAAGCCACUUCUUAUCCAUCCUUGUGAAUACUUGAUGAAUGAGGAGUCAAUGAUUAAAUGAAGGAAAGAAAAGAGACUGAAAAGGAGGUAUGAGAAUGGGAAAGACGAGUGGAAAGACGAGAUAGAUAUUGCCCUAAAGACACAGUAAGCCAUCAAAUAUCUGUUUUCUAGUCCCCUUCUGGGCCCUCUUGGAUUUUGAAAAAGGGAGGAAGAAAUUGGAAAAAUUACCAAUAACUUCUAUUGACUUUGUAGAUUCCUAGUUUCCCCACAUGUGGCUAUGCUUGAAUCAACUUGUAAAAGUCUCUUUAUAGUCUGUUGAUGUUCAUGCAGGCACUAAAAGGCCACGGUCGGCCUACUUAGAUGAUCCACUCCACCCUGGGCUCCGGAAGAUGUUCCAGGGCAUUUGCCUUUACUUGACCCUAUGCUGAGAAGCUACCAAUAUUUUUCUUUCCCCAAAUUGGUUUUAUUUGUACCCUUUAUAUAUUAAAUAUUAGAGUAUUGGCCAA
rnacentral:lncRNA from 1 species